rnacentral:misc_RNA from 1 species
UCCUCCCUCAAACCCCCCUCUGUGUGGUUUGGUGUUGGACCGCGUUGGACCGUUCGCGGCCAACUGGUCUCAAAGACAAUGACGGCGUCCGUGGGACCCUCUUCGCACUGAGCUUUCCGGAGCACGCGUCGAGUUGCAAGGUCCCGGGGACCCGGCCUCAACUAUUUUAUUUUUCA